rnacentral:rRNA from 1 species
GACGGAAGGUGCAAGCGUUGCUCGGAAUCACUGGGCGUAAAGGGUGCGUAGGCGGCUUGGUGGGUCUGGUGUGAAAGCCCCGGGCUCAGCCCGGGAAGGGCACUAGAAACUGCCGAGCUGGAGUGCCGGAGGGGAGAGUGGAAUUCCUGGUGUAGCGGUGAGAUGCGUAGAUAUCAGGAGGAAUACCAACGGCGAAGGCAGCUCGCUGGGACGGUACUGACACUGAGGCGCGAAAGCGUGGGGAGCGAACAGG